ensembl:rRNA 5S_rRNA 5S ribosomal RNA
CUCUACAGACAUACCACCCUGAACAUGCCUGAUCUCAUCUGAUCUCAGAAGUUUAGCAGGAUGGGGCUUGGUUAGUAAUGGAAUGGGAGAAAGCUCCCCUUUAUUUUAAGUUGAAAUUGAUC